UAAAAGUUGGCUUGAAAGGAUUUAUGAAAAAUAAUUUAUGUUUACAUGCAUUCUCAAAGAAUUUCCUUCCAUAAUAAUGGUAAAUUAAUAUUUUGAUAAAUAUGAUAUGGGAAAAUAAGUCAUAAUAUUUCUGGCCAUAUUACCCAGCCCUAAUUUAAAAGUGUAUCAUGAAAAGUGCUGAAAAGGGUAAAAGAAAAAAAGAAAAUACAGAUUAAAUAAUCUAAUACGCACAUAGGCUACUGCAUAUACUCAAGUCUGGCUAAGAUUCAAAACAGAGAAUAAAUAGAAUCAAAAGGUUUAUUUUAAAGGGAAUUUAUGGAAUAAAGCAGCUGUCAGCUGCUGGACUGGGCAAAAAUAUGGGCUAUCGUUUUCAUUCCUUUUGGGUGGGUUUUGAGUUAGCUUUGGGCUGGACCUGGCAGCCCUGACUAUUAUAAUGAUAUAGUUUGAUUUCUCAGACAUCUAGUGCCUGUAGUGCCUGCUUUCAGUCAGGUACUACAGGCAAAAACUCCCUUACAGCAGCUUUAAUUGCCAUUGGUUUAUUUGUUUUUUGAGUGCAGUUUAUUAAUAAGGUCUGCUAAGACAAAUAUUGAAAAAAAGGGAAAAUGUACUCAGCCACUUCUGAGGUCAGGAGCUUUUGUUGUGGCUCGCAGGAUUAGUUAUUUAAAGCCUCAGCCGGUGGAAAUUUCCCAUGGCGUUCCGCGCACGCUCAAUCAAAGCUUUAAUACGCAAGCGAGGUAACGAACAGAAGGGCAGAUAGAGUCAGUACAGCAUCAGUAUCCUCCGGGAAUGCGACCUGAUCACUGCCAUAACACGAUCUCUAUAGGGACCAGCACGGGCGCAAUCUCAUGGAGGCAGAGUUUCAAACGCAGCACUUCCAACAAAUCACUGGAUAAGACACACGGCGCCACUUCGUUCCUCUACAGACCUCUAGAGUGGGCCAACCAUGGGUAAGAAAGUCUUGCAGUGUUUUCCUUGGUACAAACGCUGUAAAGACCGGGGUAAAAGCAGGCUGUGCCCUCCUCCGCCUGUGCCAUCUGUUGAGGUGCAACCUGGCUUCUCUCCGACAGUCUCCUGGGGUUACGACGGAGAGGAAAGCGCCGCACGUCCCGUUUAUUUUUCCCACAAAGCGCGAGUAGUUUAUCGCCACCAGAUGGAUGGCAAUAUUAUCGACGCCACCUGCUGACCUCUGGGCUUCUUUCCCAGAAUCCCUUGCCUUGUACCUGGCUGUAGACGUCCAGUGUAGAGGAGCGUCGUUGCUGCCAACUAAACUGUUCCGUCCUGUGUCAUUAAACUAAAUCUUUCGUAUUUAGUAAAGAUGUCACAGUGUUUCCUCUGGUUCCUCCAUCCUCUCCCCAUACCUGGCAUUCACCUGUCUUGUACUUAAUGUGUUGAAAUAUAAUAUAAUGUUUCAAGGCAGACAGAGUGAUGUAGGCCACAUGGAAUGGAAAAACAGGAACUGAGCUGGAUUUUAUAAAUACAAAUGUAAUAUGUGUUUUGUCAUGCAAUGUAUGAUUGCCCAUUGCUUUUCAGAGGACAAACCAUGACUGGUUUUUCAGAGGUUCAUGAAUGCAUUUCAGGUAAAAUAUCAAAUUUUGUACUAAUCACUGGAAUUAUAAAAUGUAUGUACAUUUAGUAAUUGUUUCUUAUUCACUGGUUAUGUCAAAGAAGUUUGAAUAAAAUUGUUUAAAUAUAUAAACAUAUUUCUAUUGUUAAUCUU
ensembl:lncRNA